GGAUCAGUGACAGAGAUGGCUCGUCUCACCUUUCUUCUCCUUCUCCUGUGGGUCGGCACUGCAGUGAGCACAGUGGUAGAUCUGCAGAAGAGAAUCAUCAGAGGUACACCAUGUGAUCGUCCGUACCACGUCAAACUUAGAGGAGUUGAUCCUAACGGGGCUUCCAACUUCUGUGGAGGCUCUCUGAUCAGUGAACGGUGGAUUCUGACUGCUGCUCACUGCCUCCUGCCAGGAAGGACCAUGUUUGCAUAUUUAGGUGCAGGUGCUGCUGUUCGAAGAGUCCAAAUCACAGCAAAUCCUGUGAAGUACACCGACAACAACAACAGAGAACAUGACCUCAUGCUGCUGCAGCUACCUGGAAACUCUGGCAUUCCAC